UACGGAGGGUGCGAGCGUUAAUCGGAAUUACUGGGCGUAAAGGGUGCGUAGGUGGUUUGAUAAGUUAUCUGUGAAAGCCCUGGGCUCAACCUGGGAAGGCCAGAUAAGACUGUUAGACUUGAGUAUGGGAGAGGGUAGUGGAAUUUCCGGUGUAGCGGUGAAAUGCGUAGAGAUCGGAAGGAACACCAGUGGCGAAGGCGGCUACCUGGCCUGAUACUGACACUGAAGCACGAAAGCGUGGGGAGCAAACAGG
rnacentral:rRNA from 1 species